rnacentral:rRNA from 1 species
UACGUAGGGUGCGAGCGUUGAUCGGAAUUACUGGGCGUAAAGCGUGCGCAGGCGGUUUGCUAAGACCGAUGUGAAAUCCCCGGGCUUAACCUGGGAACUGCAUUGGUGACUGGCAGGCUAGAGUAUGGCAGAGGGGGGUAGAAUUCCACGUGUAGCAGUGAAAUGCGUAGAGAUGUGGAGGAAUACCGAUGGCGAAGGCAGCCCCCUGGGCCAAUACUGACGCUCAUGCACGAAAGCGUGGGGAGCAAACAGG